GAUGAACGCUAGCGACAGGCCUAACACAUGCAAGUCGAGGGGAAGGGCAGCAAUGCCCGAGACCGGCGCACGGGUGCGUAACGCGUAUGUAACCUGCCUUACACCGGGGGAUAGCCUUCCGAAAGGGAGAUUAAUACCGCAUAAUACUAUAUUUCAGCAUUGGGGUAUAGUUAAAACUGAGGUGGUGUAAGAUGGGCAUGCGUAUGAUUAGCUAGUUGGGGGGGUAACGGCCCACCAAGGCGACGAUCAUUAGGGGUUCUGAGAGGAAGAUCCCCCACACUGGUACUGAGACACGGACCAGACUCCUACGGGAGGCAGCAGUGAGGAAUAUUGGUCAAUGGGCGGAAGCCUGAACCAGCCAUGUCGCGUGCAGGAAGACUGCCCUAUGGGUUGUAAACUGCUUUUGUAUGGGAAGAACACCAGAUACGAGUAUCUGUCUGCCGGUACCAUACGAAUAAGGAUCGGCUAACUCCGUG
rnacentral:rRNA from 1 species